AACGGUCUAUACCUGCGGUACCUGCGGAGGGAUCAUUAAAAGAACUUGCGCCCGAGACAUUCGUGUCCAAGGCCCCACACUGUGUGCACCGUUUACCGUUCUUUUUGGCAGGGGCUUUGGGUUUUCUUUCCUUCCCCUUGUGGGCGGGGAAGAUGAACUCGAACUUCUCCUUCGACUCUAUCCUCUCCCCUCAUUCUUUUUUGGGUGGGUUUGGGAGGGGACAGUCGGACAUGGGAAGCA
rnacentral:misc_RNA from 1 species